rnacentral:lncRNA from 1 species
CGAAAUCAUCAGCUUCUUCUAAUGUAUCUGCAUUAUGAACAGGAUCAAAACGCACCCUUUCCUGCAUCCGAUUAGGAGGAGACGCGAGAACUCCUCCAGAUAUUGAUGCUGAUGCUGGUCUAAUCGCAAUAACUGUCGAAGCAGCUUCUAUAGUUUCUUCGUUGACGUUAUCACUGCUCGAUCUUCUCGCUUCCGAAUGAUCCUCAAGCAUGGAAAAUACCUUCGGAAUUUCAAUGCUGACUUCUGAUUCGGAAUCCACUCCGACAUCUGGAGACAUUUCCUGCUUCUCAGCAGAAGUAGUACUAUGAUCAGUACUGUAAGCUGCAUU